rnacentral:rRNA from 1 species
UACGUAGGUGGCGAGCGUUAUCCGGAUUUACUGGGUGUAAAGGGUGUGUAGGCGGGGCUGCAAGUCAGAUGUGAAAAGUACAGGCUUAACCUGUGACCUGCAUUUGAAACUGUGGUUCUUGAGGGUCGGAGAGGUAACUGGAAUUCCUGGUGUAGCGGUGAAAUGCGUAGAUAUCAGGAGGAACACCGGUGGCGAAGGCGGGUUACUGGACGAUUACUGACGCUGAGACACGAAAGCGUGGGGAGCAAACAGG